CCACCGGCCAGGGGCGCGCGGCUGCAGGGACAUCGGGCCGAGGGGCCGUGGGAGCAGCUUUUCCCCAGAGGGACGACCGUGCCCUCCUCUCCGCCGAGCUUUCACUGCGGGCGAGAGGAGAGGCGUUCGCGAGGAAAUCUGGGCUCCACCGCAGAGCGGCGGGGCGGGCCCUCGCCCGUGGGAAUUCAUUCGCACUCAGCGGGCUCCUCGCCACGGCUCUCUGAGAGGGACCCUGAGCCAGGGGCUGUCACUGCCGCCGCUCUGCGGAUGAGGCCGACUGAGAGGACCGGGUGACCUCUACCGCGCACCCACCACGUGCGCGCACGAGCGGCCGCAGCUUUAGGAGAAAGUGCUGCAGGACUGGCCUCAAGACACGUUUCUCAGAAGUUCAGAAACUGAGCAGUGCACCCAGACGCCCAGAGCCAGAAGGGGCUGAGAGCGUGUGACUUGGGGCCCUGUGCUCCACCGUGCCUGCCUGCUUCCUCUGCGGGACGGGAGUGGGCACAGGGCACACAGCUGGGCUCCAUCGGUGACCGCUGGGAAUGGGGCCCCCAGGCCUCGGUCCUGGCUGGGUGACCCCCACUUUCCCCUUUGAGCCCCUCUUGUCUUACUUUAAAACAUAAAGGAAGACUGGACCAAAACAAAGAUUCUCAACCCUAGCCACACACCGGGUGCCCUGGGCAACGUUACAAUAAAUACCAGUGCCUGGCUGCCACAUAACAGAAGAAGAGAAACUAAGGUGCACAGAAGUGAACGGCCUUGUUCCAGGUCACCCAGGUGGAAAGCUGCAGCACCAAGAUGCGAAUUGAAGCAGUCUGGUUUCGCAGUCUGUCCCUCCCUCCUCUCUUUUUGUGUGUGUGUGUGUGUUUUUUUCCGUUACCGGGAAUCGAACUCACGACCUUGUGCUUGCCAGGCAGGCACUGUGCCGCUGAGCUAAAUUCCCAGCCCCCGUCCCUCCCCUCUUGCCUCUGAAGUCUCUUUAACUCCGGUGAAAUUUGAUAAUUAUCUCCUGGGAGGCUUCAGCCCUGUUAGCUUUCCAAAUUCACCUUCCCUCUAUUCCGGCCUCCUACGAGCCCAGAUGCUAAUGUUACGGUUCCUCCUCACCCGGGGCCACUUCUGUCAUGAACCACAACAGCAUGGAGGUGACCAAGGAGAAGCUUUCUGGGGCCUGGGAACACUUUGGGAAAUCCCCUACGGAGGGGCUGAGGAGGGGUCACUCAAAGAGUUCUCGGGUGACGGGAAAUCCCCAGGCAGUUCCCUUACCCCCGGGGCUGCCAAGUUGGGACAGAGACUAAGGGGACAGGCUGGCCUUUCCUAGCUGGGCUCUGGCCCACUGCUCCAGCAGGGACUGCCCAGGCAUUCCCAACAGGCUUGGCCCUCUGCCCUGCCAGCCCUGGGUUAGUGCCUUGACCUUCUCCCUGCAUUUUCUAAUCACAGUUUCCAGAAGGGCGAAAAUAGUCCCUUCUCAAGAAAAUAGUCUCUUUCUCAAGAGAACAUGCAGUCAUUUAUUGGUAGGGUGACCUUUUUAGCUUACACCCACACCUCACUGAGUGGCAUGCGAAGUUUAUCCCUCUCACCCAGCCAUGUGUUUAGUCUCCCUUAGUUACCAGCAGCUCCUGCGCAUCAGUUGCACAUAGAGAUGGAACUCGCCACUCCUGAAGAAGGCUUCCUGCUGAGAGGAGUCUGGGAAAAGAAGCACUCAAACGCCCAGCUUCCACUGCAGCUGGGGAUGAUCCUACGACAGUUCUGACCAAUGAGAUACAAGCAGAGAUUACAUAGAUUCUGGGAAAAUGGUGGAGUGCUAAGCAACAACACAGCUUCCCCAGCUUCGGAAUCCAGACCCUGGAAAAUAACACCUUGGAGAAGGAAGAAGGAGAGAAGUAGACCCCCAGGAACCAGGAAGGAUGUAAUGGGAAACUUAGAACCUACAGAGAAAUUGAAGAGACAGAACAGGGAAGGGACAAUCUGCGCUUUCCCCGCAGCUCCCUGCUGGCGGCGCCUAGGAAAGGGAGCCGAGUCUACAGAAACACAGCGGAAGCUGGGGACUCCACGGGCUUCAGGUUGGAACGUGGAAGCGGAACAGAUCGCUGUGAGCUGAGGGCAAGUGCAGGUCUCUGCUCCCCUGAGUCCUUUGACAGACGCAGCUGAUUAACCAAGAUGGUCAGAUUUUGGGGCUGAGACAAAGGACUAUAAUUACCUAUGCGCACAAUAUAUCACUGAAAAGCAACUAGAGGUCUCUAUAUUACCAACAAAGUCUUUAAACUAUAAGCCUCCACAACCUCAGGGCAAAACAAAAGAAACAAAUGAACAAAGACACGAGAAGACAAGGCAACGAAAUGCCUCCCAAAACUCCCAACUCCCCAAGGUUAAUCCAGGGAGCAUCAAGAGCCAGAACAGCGUAGGUCACACAACCAAAGUACUUGAAAGGAUAACAGAGGAGGUUAGAAAACAGAUCAAAGAGGUACUCAGUGGGAUCAGAGACGAUAUAACUAAACAGGUAAUGGAAGCAACAACUGAAAAGAUACAGCCGCCUUCAGAAGACACUAAUAAAAAGCUAGAUGAGCUAAACAAAAUGAUAUAAAACAUGAAUGGCAUGUUUAGCAAAGAAUCAGAGCCCGUGAAAAAUUUCAAUCAGAAAUCCAGAAGAUUAAAAGUCAUAUUUAAAGUAUGGGGAACAGAAGCAACCAAUGUGAGGGCAGAAUUUCAGAACUAGAAGAUGGCAAUGCCUUCAAAGACCAACUACUCAAAGACAUAUUUAAAGCAACAAGAGAAGAUGAAAAAUGGAUCCUACAGCUGCUAAAGGAUGCAAAGAAGACUAAUCUAAGAGCAACUGGAAUAUAUGACAAGUCAGAAGGCAGCACAAAUGGCAUAAAAAACCUGUUCACAGAAAUAAUGGCAGAAAACUUCCCAUAUGUAGAGGAAAAAAUAUUCAUAUAAGGGAGGCAUGUAGAGCCCCAAAUAGCACCAGGGAUAUAGCUCAGUGGCAUGGUGCUUACCUAGCAAGCAUGAGGUUGUGAGUUUGAUUCCCAGUACCAAAAAAAAAAAAAAAAAAAAAGAACUCCAAAUAGCUACAACCAAAAGAGAACCUCUUUAUGCCACAUUAUACUGAAAGUACCAGAAGUCCAACAUAGGGAAAAAAUAUUAAAAGCUGUUAGAGAAAGACAAUGAAUCACAUAUAAAGGUAAAACCAUCAUAUAACAGUGAUA